ACAAUGAAGAGUUUGAUCCUGGCUCAGGAUGAACGCUAGCUACAGGCUUAACACAUGCAAGUCGAGGGGCAGCAUUUUAGUUUGCUUGCAAACUGAAGAUGGCGACCGGCGCACGGGUGAGUAACACGUAUCCAACCUGCCGAUAACUCCGGAAUAGCCUUUCGAAAGAAAGAUUAAUACCGGAUAGCAUACGAAUAUCGCAUGAUAUUUUUAUUAAAGAAUUUCGGUUAUCGAUGGGGAUGCGUUCCAUUAGUUUGUUGGCGGGGUAACGGCCCACCAAGACUACGAUGGAUAGGGGUUCUGAGAGGAAGGUCCCCCACAUUGGAACUGAGACACGGUCCAAACUCCUACGGGAGGCAGCAGUGAGGAAUAUUG
rnacentral:rRNA from 1 species